rfam:Zootermopsis nevadensis contig24085, whole genome shotgun sequence.
GCCACGGUGGUCUAGCGGUUAGAACGCUGGCCUUGUAAUCCAGGGCUCUCGGGUUCGAUUCCCGGCGGUGCCC